rnacentral:tRNA from 1 species
UCAAGAAGAAGGAAAUAAUUCCCCACCACCAGCACCCAAAGCUGGUAUUCUAGUUAAACUACUUCUUG